ACUGCCUGUAAGUUGAUCCUUCUGGCUCUUACGUGAGGGCUGCUGUGGAGAACCUGAAUAAGGUGGAUUUUUAUUUCACUCUGUGCAAAACCAGUUUGAAUUUCAUUUCACUUCAGAAGACUGGGAGAGAAGGAGUCUGAUAUUCCCCAGUGGAAUCCUAUUUGGGCCCAUUUUGUCAGGUUAUCUCAAUGUUUCAAGCAAUGGGUGAUAGAUUUUCAGCUGUAAAUCAGCACAACCCCUCUGAUUUGCUGUAGCAGGGCCUCUGAUGAGCCCAGAUCAGGUACCUCUGUUUUGAUGCCAACUUCUCCACCUCUUGCUCCUGCAGUGGGCAGAGUGGAUCAGGGAAAACAGAAGCUGCCAAAGCCAUUGUGCAAUACCUGACCAUGCUGUACCAGGGAUCUGACAGCCACAGGAUCAGACAGCCCUGCAAUGUCCUACCCAUCCUGGAGAGCUUUGGAAAUGCAAGAACCAUCCUCAAUGACAACUCCAGCCGUUUUGGAAAGCUGCUGAACGUCCACCUGCGACAGUGAGUUGAAGAAUCUCCUCGGGCCCCUGCAGCUGCCAAGGGGUGUUUGGGUGAGACCAGGUGGAGCAGUGCUGAGAGUUCACACAAUAACCCCCCUCCCCUUCACUCUUGUUGUCAUCAGGGUAGGAAGAGGGCGAAUUUACACCCCUGUUUUGGUUUUUUUUGUGUUUCCUCUGAAAAAGAACAGAGCAUAGUUCUCAAGAUGAGUGUUAAAUUAAGAACAUAAGAAUGGCUGAACUGGUUUAUACCAAGGACCCAUUUGAUACCCUGCUAUGUCCUCAGCACUGACCUCAAGCACUGCCUGAGGCAAGAACAGCCCAAAUACACACUCUGCUUCUCCCUAACACCUCUUGAGCUCUUCAACAUUUGCAGCAGCUCAGUUUUCCUCUGUCUCCUGAGGUUUUCCAGUCUCUUCUUGGAUUCAUACAAACUUGAUAGUGCUGCAACAGCCUUUAACAAGUGUUCCACAGGUCUAACAAGUUCUGUGAAAACCACCUUUCUGUUUUGAGCCUGCCUCCUUUCUAAUUUCUGGGUUUGAUUGGUUUGUUUGGGGUUUUUUUUUUCUGACCUUUGCCAAGCACUGAGCUGAUUCUUUCAUGGAACAGUCUAUCAAAACCCUCAGGUCUCAGUCCCGAGGAGGGAUGGUUAAACUGGAGCCUGUUUAUGUGUGAAGCUGGGUCUGCACCCAUCACUUCACAUUUAUCUACAGUAGGUUUUGUGUGCCAUUUUCUUGCUCACUCUGCACUGUAAGGUCUGUCUGCAUUUAUUCACAACUGGCCUUCAUCCUCUCUACCCCAGAUAAUUCCAUACAAGCAGGAAGCUUUGACCCAUUGCUGUUCAGCUCCUCUUCUAGGUCACUUACCAAACCCACAGCUGCACUCACAGGUCAGGUACAGACACUUUGUGGAACUCUGAUGGUGGUUUCAGACUGUUAAAAGAAUUCACCUUUAUUCCUACCCACAUUAGGAUUUUCCUUCUUAUUCUGUGCAUGCUUGGUUUCCCUGAAAGUCCCACAGUUUUGUCAAAAUAUUUUGAAAAGUCAUGCAGAUUAUAUCCCUAAGAUCAUUCUUACCUGCAGAGACACAAGUCUGCAGAAAAGCAGACCCCAGCUUCUGACAGGAUCUGUUGUCUUACUCUCAGUGGCAUCGUGGUGGGAACAUCCAUCUCCCAGUACCUGCUGGAGAAGUCUCGUGUGGUGUUUCAGGUGAGGACCAGUGGCCCCCUCUCUCCCUUAUUCACAUUUCAUCUUAAACUCACUGUUAAGUGUCAGGGGUGGGAAUCUGUAUGAAAAUUACUUUCCAUUUCUUCUAUUAGCAAGAACUACGUCCCCUCUAUGUAGCACAGGGUGAUCACUUCUUUUAUUUGAAUAAAAUAGGAGGUUUCUCUGUCUCA
ensembl:lncRNA